GAUGAACGCUGGCGGCGUGCCUAAUACAUGCAAGUCGAGCGAACAGACGAGGAGCUUGCUUCUCUGACGUUAGCGGCGGACGGGUGAGUAACACGUGGAUAACCUACCUAUAAGACUGGGAUAACUUCGGGAAACCGGAGCUAAUACCGGAGAAUAUAUUGAACCUCAUGGUUCAAUAGUGAAAGACGGUUUUGCUGUCACUUAUAGAUGGAUCCGCGCCGCAUUAGCUAGUUGGUAAGGUAACGGCUGACCAAGGCAACGAUGCGUAGCCGACCUGAGAGAGUGAGCGGCCACGCCGGAGAUGAGACACGGUCAAGACGCCUACGGGAGGCAGCAGUAGGGAAUCUUCCGCAAUGGGCGAAAGCAUAACGGAGCAACGCCGCGUGAGUGAUGAAGGUCUUCGGAGCGUAAAACUCUGUUAUUAGGGAAGAACAAAUGUGUAAGUAGCUAUGCACGUCUUGACGGUACCUAAUCAGAAAGCCACGGCUAACUACGUG
rnacentral:rRNA from 1 species